rnacentral:lncRNA from 1 species
CGUGGCUCUUUUUCACUUUACUAUAUCAUAAAUCUUGGCAAGAAUGCUCAAUGGAAAGGAACAGUCCAUGGAAGGAACCUUGGCUCAGAGACCCUAGGGAAGAUGAAACCAGCUGACAGAAGCCUGGCCUGCAUCUCCAGGGAAAUUUAACUCAAUCUUCUAAAGCUUGGAGAGGGGCUGAAUGUUUACGUCCCUUCAAAUUCAUCUGUGGAAGCACUAACCCC